rnacentral:rRNA from 1 species
AUGUCCUCCCAGCCAGAGAUAUCCCAAGUUGUUCGAUCAGCUCAAGCUGUAGAAGAAGCUGAUGAGCACUAUGACCCAUUCAAAGAUCCUAAGAGGAGGCCAACAAAGAGCAAGGAUCUGGCAUGGAAAUAUGCAUUCUGGCCAGAUCUUAACAAGAUAUUGUUGCUGCAAUGUAAUUUGUGCGGCAAGCAAAUUACCUCUAGACCGUGUAGGAUGAAGAAACACCUUGCUGGGGGGUUUACAAUUGUGAGUAUGUGCACCAAAACAACCCCUGGAAUUCGAAAGGAGAUGCACGACUACUUGAGGACUCACUCAUUCAGUUUCAAAAAUCUUGAUGGAGAUGAAGGUGGUGAAGAAGGUGGUGAAGAAGGUGCUGAACAAGAGAAGUGUGCAGCAAGUUCAAGAGCUUCCAACUCCAACUCCAACGCCUCCACCAAAAGGAAAUCAGAGGGGACUACUCAUUUGGCAACGACGGUGGCAAAGAAGCAAGGAAAGUCCAUUGCAAAUCAGAUUCGGAAGACACCGGAAGAGGUGGUUGCUGAGAGACAUAUGUUAAAGGGCACUCAAAAGACCAUGAAGGAUUACAGCAAGAAGACAAAGGAGCAAAAAGAUGAAGUAGAUGGUCAUGUAGCUGACUUUUUGUAUGAGAAUUGCCUUCCACUCAAUAUUGUUAAUUCAAGGAGUUGGGAGAUUCUAUUGGAGUCUAUAGGGCAGUAUGGCUCUGAUUAUAUAUCUCCUACUUAUCAUCAAGUGAGGGAACCAUUGCUUGAGAAGGAAAAGAUCAAGACCGACAACUUGAAAGGGAAGCAUGAAGUUGCAUGGAAAGAAUAUGCCAAUGUUUCUUCUGAAACAGUUGAUGCAAAUCUGGUGGCAAAGCUGUUGAGCGAACAAAUUGAUGCAAUUGGCCCUGAAUUGGUAGUCCAAGUAGUUAGCGAUAAUGGGUCUAACUACAAGGCAGCCUGUAGACUUCUAAUGGAAAAGUAUCCUACAAUGUAUUGGACACCUUGUGCUGCCCACUGUUUGGAUCUUAUGCUAGAGGACACUGGGAAGAUCAAAGAGUUCAGUCGUUGCAUUGCUAAAGCAAAGAGAACAACCAGAUUUAUUUAUGCCCAUGGAAAGGUUCUUGAUUUAAUGAGAAGCUUGAACGGUAAGCAAGAAAUUGUGAGGCCUGGAGCAACUCGUUUUGCUACGUCAUUCCUUACUUUGGCAAGCAUGUGGAAGCAAAGGCAAACCUUGAAAACUCUCUUUGUUAGCCCACAAUGGUAUGCAAACAGAUUAAAGGACAGCGAAGGAGGGAAGGCGGCUGAAGCAACUAUGAUCUCCGUGUCAUUUUGGCAAUCGGUGGAGCAUUGCAUGAGAGCUUCACAACCACUUCUUAGAGCUUUGAGGAUUGCUGAUGGUGAUGAGACUCCGGCUAUGGCAGAAAUGUGGGCAGCCAUGGAUUUUGCAAAGACACACAUAAAGGAAGCUUUGGCACAUAAGCCAAACCUCCUAGGUCAAGUGGUAGCUAUUGUUGAUAAGAGGUGGGAUAAUCAUAUGGAACAAAAGCUACAUGGGGCUGCUUUGUUCUUGAACCCAAAUAAAUUCUUUGCCAUUAAGGAGUCCAACAGAAGACAAGCUGCCCGUCUCCAUUCAAUGUUCAAUGAUGUGCUAUGGAAGAUGGUGCCCGAUGAUGAGCAGCAAGCAACUAUUAGUAGGGAAGCUGACGACUAUGAGCUGGGGAGUGAAUGUUUCUCGAAGCCAUUGUCAAUUAAAGACCAUGACAAAAAAAGCCCUCUUCUUUGGUGGAAUGCUUAUGGUGGCCUUGCUUUUGACCUCCAAACUCUUGCAAAGCGAAUCAUUAGUCUAUGUUGUUCAGCAUCUGGCUGCGAGCGCAAUUGGAGUGUAUUUGCUCAUAUCCACACCAAAGGGAGAAACCGUCUAGAGUACAAGAGAUUGAACAAGCUAUCAUAUGUCCCGUACAACCGGAAAAUGGAAGCUAGGUUUCAGAAUCUGUGUGAGCAAGGCUCUAAAGCAAAGAAAUCUAGUCCAGUUGUCCUAGAAGAAUUUGAAUGGGAUAAUGAAUGGGUUGAUAUCAAUGCUGAAAUGGUACAUGAAGAUCAAGCUCAAGUCAUGGACGGUGAAACACCACUACUUUGGUCUCAGGUUGAUGAAGCCAUGGGUGCGUCAACUUCUCUAGCAGGCCGCAACUAUCCUAGGAGAGCUCAUGGUGAUCCUAGCGAGCCUAUUGCACGACCCAUAGGCCCUUAUAUCACCUACACUCAGAACAACGCAAGAACAAGGCUGGUUGUGCAUGAUGAAGAGUUGAGGGCUGAAUUAGAAGCGGCAGAAUGUGACAAAGACAUGGAGAGUAGUGAUGAAGACGAUGCUGAAUCACCAGAUGAUGAAGACACUGAUUUUCAGCUUGAAGACAUGGAGCUUGAGGCUUGA